GAUGAACGCUGGCGGCGUGCCUAAUACAUGCAAGUCGAGCGAACAGACGAGGAGCUUGCUCCUCUGACGUUAGCGGCGGACGGGUGAGUAACACGUGGAUAACCUACCUAUAAGACUGGGAUAACUUCGGGAAACCGGAGCUAAUACCGGAUAAUAUAUUGAACCGCAUGGUUCAAUAGUGAAAGACGGUUUUGCUGUCACUUAUAGAUGGAUCCGCGCCGCAUUAGCUAGUUGGUAAGGUAACGGCUUACCAAGGCGACGAUGCGUAGCCGACCUGAGAGGGUGAUCGGCCACACUGGACCUGAGCCCCGGUCCAGCCUCCUACGGGAGGCAGCAGUAGGGAAUCUUCCGCAAUGGGCGAAAGCCUGACGGAGCAACGCCGCGUGAGUGAUGAAGGUCUUCGGAUCGUAAAACUCUGUUAUUAGGGAAGAACAAAUGUGUAAGUAACGAUGCACGUCUUGACGGUACCUAAUCAGAAAGCCACGGCUACCUACGU
rnacentral:rRNA from 1 species